rnacentral:rRNA from 1 species
UACAGAGGUCUCAAGCGUUGUUCGGAUUCAUUGGGCGUAAAGGGUGCGUAGGUGGCGAGGCAAGUCAGAUGUGAAAUCCCGGGGCUCAACCCCGGAACUGCAUUUGAAACUGCCUUACUCGAGUACUGGAGAGGAGACUGGAAUUUACGGUGUAGCAGUGAAAUGCGUAGAUAUCGUAAGGAAGACCAGUGGCGAAGGCGAGUCUCUGGACAGUUACUGACACUGAGGCACGAAGGCCAGGGGAGCAAACGGG